rnacentral:rRNA from 1 species
CCUACGGGAGGCAGCAGUGGGGAAUAUUGGACAAUGGGCGAAAGCCUGAUCCAGCCAUGCCACGUGUGUGAAGAAGGCCUUCGGGUUGUAAAGCACUUUCAGUGGGGAAGAAAGCCUUGGGGCUAAUACCCUCGAGGAAGGACAUCACCCACAGAAGAAGCACCGGCUAACUCCGUGCCAGCAGCCGCGGUAAUACGGAGGGUGCGAGCGUUAAUCGGAAUUACUGGGCGUAAAGCGCGCGUAGGCGGUCUGAUAAGCCGGUUGUGAAAGCCCCGGGCUCAACCUGGGAACGGCAUCCGGAACUGUCAAGCUAGAGUGCAGGAGAGGAAGGUAGAAUUCCCGGUGUAGCGGUGAAAUGCGUAGAGAUCGGGAGGAAUACCAGUGGCGAAGGCGGCCUUCUGGACUGACACUGACGCUGAGGUGCGAAAGCGUGGGUAGCAAACAGGAUUAGAUACCCCAGUAGUC